rnacentral:rRNA from 1 species
GGGUUGUGAGGUUAAGUGACUAAGCGUACACGGUGGAUGCCUAGGCAGUCAGAGGCGAUGAAGGGCGUGCUAAUCUGCGAAAAGCGUCGGUAAGGUGAUAUGAACCGUUACAACCGGCGAUACCCGAAUGGGGAAACCCAGUGUGUUUCGACACACUAUCAUGUCAUGAAUACAUAGUGGCAUGAGGCGAACCGGGGGAACUGAAACAUCUAAGUACCCCGAGGAAAAGAAAUCAACCGAGAUUCCCCCAGUAGCGGCGAGCGAACGGGGAGGAGCCCAGAACCUGAAUCGGCCUGUGUGUUAGUGGAAGCGUCUGGAAAGUCGCGCAGCAAAGGGUGAUAGCCCCGUACACUAAAAUGCACAGGUCGUGA